AAUAUUGGACAAUGGGGGCAACCCUGAUCCAGCCAUGCCGCGUGUGUGAAGAAGGUCUUCGGAUUGUAAAGCACUUUAAGUUGGGAGGAAGGGCUUUAGGUUAAUACCCUGAAGUUUUGACGUUACCAACAGACUAAGCCCCGGCGAACUCUGUGCCAGCAGCCGCGGUAAUAGAGAGGGUGCAAGCGUUAAUCGGAAUUACUGGGCUGAAAGCAGGGGUAGGUGGUUCAGUAAGAUGGGUGUGAAAACCCCGGGCUUAACCUGGGAACUGCUUUCAUAACUGCUGAGCUAGAGUACGGUAGAGGGUAGUGGAAUUUCCUGCGUAGCGGUGAAAUGCGUAGAUAUAGGAAGGAACACCAGUGGCGAAGGCGACUACCUGGACUGAUACUGACACUGAGGUGCGAAAGCGUGGGGAGCAAAC
rnacentral:rRNA from 1 species